GACGAACGCUGGCGGCGUGCUUAACACAUGCAAGUCGAACGGAAAGGCCCUGCUUUUGUGGGGUGCUCGAGUGGCGAACGGGUGAGUAACACGCGAGGAACCUGCUCUUGACUCCGGGAUAACUUCAGGAAACUGGGGCUAAUACCGGAUAGGAGCUCCUGCUGCACGGUGGGGGUUGGAAAGUUUCGGCGGUUGGGGAUGGACUCGCGGCUUACCAGCUUGUUGGUGGGGUAGUGGCUUACCAAGCCUUUGGCGGGUAGGCGGCCUGAGAGGGUGACCGGCCACAUGGGUCCUGAGAUCCGCAUCAGUAUCGAACGGGAGCCAACAGUGGGGAAUAUUACACAAUAACCGGAAGCCUGAUGCAGCGGGCCCGCGUGCGGGAUAACGGCCUUCUGGGUGUCAACCGCUUUCGCCUGUGACGCCCCGUGAGUGACGGUACUGGCUAAGGAAGCACCGGCUAACUACGUG
rnacentral:rRNA from 1 species